rnacentral:misc_RNA from 1 species
UUUCCGUAGGUGAACCUGCGGAAGGAUCAUUGCACACACGAGUUGCAGCCAACCCGCGGCGAACGAACACAUUGUCCCCUCGGUGGGUCGCGGCGCCUCUCGCGGCGUGGCGGCCGGCCGGCUCCCUUCGUCACGAGCUCCGUCACGACGGACUCGCGGCGCGGGGCUUCCACGAUGCCUUCACCUUGACCGAAUGACUGAGUCCCUUUUUGACUUGACAGGAGUUUCCUUGCGAGUCGAAACGUAUGAUAACCAAGAACAACUCUCAGCAACGGAUAUCUUGGCUCUG